rnacentral:lncRNA from 1 species
GUCUCAGGCUCCUUCCAAGCCUCAGCCUAGAUCAGGCCCAGGAACCCAGUGUGAAUGUGUGUGCUGGGGUCGGGGAUAAGGUGCUUCUCUCCCGUUGGAAGGAGAAGGAACAUCUGGGCUGGGAUUCCAAAAGAGCUGAGCGGGGGAGAACGGUGGCCCUGGUGUGGUGUGUCCAGGGGUACACCACUGGAAGGGAAGGAGCCAGCAGGGCCUCUC